AGAGUUUCAUCAUGGCUCAGAACGAACGCUGGCGGCGUGCUUAACACAUGCAAGUCGAGUGCGCGUGCCGUAGCAAUACGGCAUGGCGCACGGCGCACGGGUGCGUAACACGUGGGCAAUCUGCCCUCCGGUGGGGAAUAACCCGCGAAAGCGGGGCUAAUUCCGCAUAACAUUCCCUGGACUCCGGUUCGGGGAUUCAAAGCAGUGAUGCGCCGGAGGAGGAGCCCGCGCCCGAUUAGCUAGUUGGUGAGGUAACGGCUCACCAAGGCAAUGAUCGGUAGCUGGUCUGAGAGGAUGGCCAGCCACACUGGAACUGAGACACGGUCCAGACUCCUACGGGAGGCAGCAGUGGGGAAUCUUGCGCAAUGGGCGAAAGCCUGACGCAGCGACGCCGCGUGGGGGAUGAAGCUUUUCGGAGUGUAAACCCCUUUCGACUGGGACGAAUGCCCGCAAGGGAGUGACGGUACCGGUAGAAGAAGCCCCGGCUAACUACGUGCCAGCAGCCGCGGUAAGACGUAGGGGGCCAGCGUUGUUCGGAAUUACCGGGUGUAAAGGGUUCGUAGGCGGUGUGGCAAGUCGGGAGUGAAAUUUCUGGGCUUAACCCAGAAGCUGCUUCCGAAACUGCUGUGCUAGAGUGCGGGAGAGGCGCGUGGAAUUGCAGGUGUAGCGGUGAAAUGCGUAGAUAUCUGCAGGAACACCCGUGGCGAAAGCGGCGCGCUGGACCGUUACUGACGCUGAGGAACGAAAGCUAGGGGAGCAAACAGGAUUAGAUACCCUAGUAGUCC
rnacentral:rRNA from 1 species